rnacentral:lncRNA from 1 species
UUUUUUAUAUUUUCUUUUCUUCUUCAUUCUUACUUCGAAAGCCCUCCCCUCUAUCCCUUUAUCUCAUCCAUUGAGUCGGAACUCAUAUUUUUCUAUCCAUAGUCACAAAGCUUUCUUCUUUUUUGUUUCUCUUAUUGUUCGACUGUGGGUGUUGGUGAUUUAUUUUUAAUUGUGGGUGUUCAUCAUUUUGUUGGAUUUAGGGUUUUCUAAUUUUUGUUAGAUUGUGGUUGUAUGUGGUUCAUUGUUUUUGUCUUUAGAAACAAAUUUCCUACUUCCACUUUUAUCUAUCCUUUGUCAGCGUCAUUUAUAUUUUUCGUUGUUGUUUGGAUAUUUUGGAGCGACCUACGUUCCAUGGCCCCAGAUUUGUUUUAACAAAGUAAGUAUUAGUAUUCGUAAUGUAUUAUGUUGUUUUGAUAUAAAAAAAAAAAACUUGAGAAUAAGGUGCAGUAACAUGUUUUUCCUUCAACAUUAUGUGCUUAGUUAUUAAGUUGGUUCUGUACAACUCAAGAAAUGCUUAAUAUGGAUAUAAGGGGUCAAAGGUUCUGAAUUUUUGGACUAUGAUCACUUAUAAAAUUCUCCAAGUCUGUCAAAGGUUAUGAAGUACAAAAAUUGUUACUUUUGGAAAAGCAAAUGAUUAAGGUAAAAGAAAAACUUGACAAGUGUAAUAAGGAGAGGUUAUUGGAAUUAUGUGAUGUGCUUGACAUAACAGUUAUGCUAUAUAUGACUAUUGUUUCAUCUUUUUUUUUUUGCAGGCUUCACUAUUUAUGCGACUAGAAAAGUUUUUUCGAUUUAAAUCAAUUUCUAUGUUGAACUGGAGUGAUUGAUUCUCGCUGCAACAUGAUUAAUUUAAAUGUUCAUGAUGAUGAUUUUCUUUGAAGGUCCAAUUCUAUUCUUUGGCCGAGGAUCUGAUGCAACUAAUCACACUAUAACCUUGGAGCUUGGAUCGCAAGCUUAGACAGAGUAUGAGGUCCUUGUUUUUGAUGAGUUUUGAUUGGCCAACUCUAUAGUUGCUUUUAAAAUGGGCAAUUUAUUUUCACGAUUGCCAUUCUCAUUUUGUCUGACAUUGGUCAUUGAUUUAAUAAUAAUAAUAAUUAACAAAAUAAAUAUUAUUGAUUGAACUCUGUGACAUGGAUUGCUUUAAGUAAUUUAGUUUAGUUAAAUAGUUGUGCAUUUACAAUUUAUUUCAAUAGAUAUCAUUUUGUUUUCUGCUUUGCAUAUGCAUACUGUAGUUACUAGAAGAUGACAAAUACUUGCCUUCCACCUGACACAUCACGAUAAUGGUUCCUAGAAUUUAUAUUAUUGAGAAAGCACACCAUCCUACUUUGUUUCCCAUUUCCAAGUCUAGCACACUUUCAUCUGUGGAGGCCUAAACUAAAAGUUUUCAAGUGUUGGUAUCAUUGAAAAAAUAACACUUCAAAGAAGAUUACCAGAGACAUCAAUCUGUUUAAAGUAUAUAUGGAGGUUCCAUUGAAUUUUAAUUUUCUUAUGAGUAGGAAAUUUUCAACUGAUAUUUUAUUUAACCGUCUCUCCUGUGAAAUAGUGGGGAAGAAGUAAAGAUCAAAUAUUCUUAGCAAAAGGCUAGAAAAUGUUGUUGUAAGGUAUGAGAAAACAACUGAUAGUAUCAUAACUUUGUGUUUUGCCAUUUUGGCACAGGUAGCCUUGGUAUGAUUCUUUGUUCCGCAUUUGUUAUGCAAAAUCC